GGGGCCAUAGCUCAGCUGGGAGAGCGCUUGAAUGGCAUUCAAGAGGUCGUCGGUUCGAUCCCGAUUGGCUCCA
rfam:Aureimonas ureilytica strain NS365 contig_9, whole genome shotgun sequence.